AAUGCAGUGUGCUCAUGGGAAAUCUACUUUUCUAUCUGCGCCACAUGUGGCAACCGCAACAAGCAAGGAAACACCACGACGAGAACCACCAGGAAAACUCCCUGCAAAUCCUGCACCGACUGCGCUAACGGAGAGAAGUUGAACGAAGAUAACAAAACAGAGGAGGUUGCAGCUUAUGGAAUGGCAAUGUAAGCUCUGCACAUGUGUGGCUUCAGCGAAAGGGUCACUUCUCAAGCACUAUCGAUUGAAGCACGGUACCUUUGGAAUCUGGGAGAAGAUGCGAGUGCCUUGAUCAAGGACUUUGAGGAUGCUGCUGAUGCACCUGUCAGUGUACAAGAGGAGUUGGCAGAGGAGGUGAUGAAGAUGUACCUGCUGCAGAACCAAGAUGGGUCAGUCGAUGAACCUACUGAUGUAGGGAUUGUGAUUGAGGGCAUCCCUGUCCUCAGAAGUCUUAGGGAUCUUAGCAGAGCCUGCUGCUAUCUGUUGGGACUAACCUAUGCCUUGGAUCUGAGAUACCCCAAGAAUCUCAAAUAUAGUUUUGAGGUAUUCCAAAAACUACUGUUGGAGCUGGAUCCUGGCAACCUUUCAACCAAGGUUCAGAGACUGAAAAAUUGCCUGCAUAUGUAGUUGCCGACUACUGUUCAACAAGAUGCUAAAAGGUACGAGUUGAGAGUUCCAUUGAUUGAAUUGCAUUUUGGACUGGUAUUGUUGUAAAGUGUCACUGUUCUUGGUGCAUUUCAGUCAUAUGCAGAGUUCAGUUCAGCCCGUUGCUCCCAUAGCUCAAUGGAAAUGUUCACAUGCUCAUUGGCAAAAAUAUACCUGGUUGAAAGUUAAGCUAGAUAAAAUGUCUAAAAGUUUUAUUGCUAAAUAAUCAAAUUUGAGAUUUCCAUUGAUGCUAAGAUGUCUCUGCUGCAAUUGGUCUUGUUGCAUUUUACCCGUGUUUAAAAGGACCGCUUAGUUAUAUGCAGAGCUCAAUUCAGCUCAUCGUUUUUAUAGCUUGGCCAUUGUUACCAGGGCUCUCCCUUCUUAGUCGAUUAGUUGACUUUAUUUGUGGUUUUGGUCGAUGAAGAUUUCUUUAGUCAAUUAGUAAUAUUUUAAUGUAUUUUUUUUCAUGGUGAAUGACUUAUUUGUAAGAAACGUAUAUCUAUGAGUGGCCGUUAGGGACAUUAUUCAGAAAUACCAUUCACAUACACAUGUGAAGCACUCUCAUACACACAACUGAAACCAAAAUCAUUUAC